rnacentral:tRNA from 1 species
AUUUAAAUAGUUUAAUAAAAAUAUUGAUUUGUGGUGUCAAUGAUAUGAGGUUUUCAUUUUAGAUC